rnacentral:rRNA from 1 species
GACGAACGCUGGCGGCGUGCCUAAUACAUGCAAGUCGAACGAAACUUUCUUACACCGAAUGCUUGCAUUCACCGUAAGAAGUUGAGUGGCGGACGGGUGAGUAACACGUGGGUAACCUGCCUAAAAGAAGGGGAUAACACUUGGAAACAGGUGCUAAUACCGUAUAUCUCUAAGGAUCGCAUGAUCCUUAGAUGAAAGAUGGUUCUGCUAUCGCUUUUAGAUGGACCCGCGGCGUAUUAACUAGUUGGUGGGGUAACGGCCUACCAAGGUGAUGAUACGUAGCCGAACUGAGAGGUUGAUCGGCCACAUUGGGACUGAGACACGGCCCAAACUCCUACGGGAGGCAGCAGUAGGGAAUCUUCCACAAUGGACGCAAGUCUGAUGGAGCAACGCCGCGUGAGUGAAGAAGGUCUUCGGAUCGUAAAACUCUGUUGUUAGAGAAGAACACGAGUGAGAGUAACUGUUCAUUCGAUGACGGUAUCUAUCCAGCAAGCCACGGCUAACUACGUGCCAGCAGCCGCCGCAGUAA